GAAGAAGGCUGCUCCAACUGAUGAGACCAAUAUUGAAGAAGGUGGAGCACCGGGAGAUGAGCCAGUGAAGGAGAAGAAAGAGAAGAAGUGCUGGUGGAGUAGAUGCCAAAAAGGAGAAGGCGAGCAAAAGGUAAG
rnacentral:sRNA from 1 species